UACAGAGGUGGCAAGCGUUGUUCGGAAUUACUGGGCGUAAAGGGCGCGUAGGCGGUCUUGCAAGUCCCGUGUGAAAUCCCUCGGCUCAACUGAGGAACUGCACGGGAAACUGUUUGGCUUGAGUUCGGGAGAGGGAAGCGGAAUUCCGGGUGUAGCGGUGAAAUGCGUAGAUAUCCGGAGGAACACCGGUGGCGAAGGCGGCUUCCUGGACCGAUACUGACGCUGAGGCGCGAAAGCUAGGGGAGCAAACGGG
rnacentral:rRNA from 1 species